CAGAUCUAUUUGUGUUUACCUCUGGGAGGUUCAGCACACACACAUCUGUACAUACAUUACAUGAAUUAAAAUUUUAUGCAUGGCCACACGUAAAUCAUUUAGAGGCCUUUUGCUGCCACUUCUAUGGUCGACACUUUGGUUUCUUGUCCUCUCAGACCAGCAGGUGGAGGUGAAGGUGAGGGAAGGAUCAGAGUCUGUCAUCCUGCCCUGCAAAACAAAACCCAACCUGCCUGAGAAUACCACAGUGGAGUGGACUCGCUCUGACCUCGGACUCAUCACAGUCCAUGAGUAUUCUAACAGAAAUGAUGACCUUAUGACUCAGGAUGAAGUUUACACAAAUAGAACAAAGAUGAAUGAAGACCUGCUGAGAACUGGAGACCUCAGUCUGACCCUGAAAUACCCCAAAGUCAAAGACACGGGACGAUACAUCUGCAACAUCUACAGGGACAAAGACAUCCUGAGACAGAAAGUCAUGCUGCAGGUCAAAAAACCAUUUCCAUCCUGGUUCAAAGAUCUUCUGAUUCUCCUGUUUGUCUUUGUGAUUUUUGGAGGUCUUUUAUAUUAUUUACGUCACUAUUACAUGUCAGGUAAGUGUCUUUCCUACUGCACUACCCAUAAUACCAGUGGUUAACCCUUUAAGAUCUACCAUAGAACCAAGCCCGCCAUAGUGAUCUUUAUAUUUUUACAUGCUGUAGUGCCAUUUUUGGGAGCAUUUCAAGUUGCUAUACAUCAAUACAACCGUUAUAGCCCAAAUUUUAAUAAUAUGUAUGCAUUAAGUCUAUAAUAACUACAUAAAUUCUAAAAAAGUGCAAUAAACUACAAAAAAAAAUGAAAAUCUUAUUUCUUACAUAUAUUUCUAGUUAGAGGAAUUUCAGAGGUUUAUCCCUCAAAACUGUAAAUAUUCAUAAUCUUCAUGGUUUCUGUGCUGAUGUGUCUGAGACAUGACUCACUGUGGAGGCUCAGUCUGUCUGUGGAGGUGGAUUCAGGGGUGGCGUCUGUCAAGCUGCCCUGCAAAACUAUAUGUAAAUUCCUAAAACACACUAAAGUGGAGUGGAGGGACAGAAACAACAGGAAGGUCCACGUGUAUCAGAACGGCUCUGACCAGCCUGAAAAACAGCACCGGUUUUACAGAAACCGAACAGAGAUGAAGAGCAUAUCUCUGCUGAAACCUGGAGACCUCAGUCUGAUCCUGACAUAUCCCACGGAUGACGACAACUCCAUCUAUACUUGUACCAUCUACAACAGGAAAGGAAACAUACUGACAAGGAAAAAUGUGCAGCUCCAUGUCAGAGGUCAGUGCUGCUGAUACAGGUCAGAGGUCAGAACAUAGUUUUUACCUUGUUUCUCCCUGAAUCCCACACAGUGCUCAUCUCUGUGGCGUGAAUCAUGACAACCCCAAAUCCAAAUCUGUACAGUGGCUUCGCUCCCAUGACAAACUCUGUUCCCAAUACUCUGUUCUCAGUACAAUACAACUGGCAAACAACACACACACAAAGUUCUCACUAACAAACCCAUCAUGAACUCAACGAUCCAGCACCAACUGAAGUUCAGCCAGUACAGCUGGCGACAUUUGAUGAGCAACACGUGUGUCUGGCUUCUCUUUGUCCUAAUGACGCUUGAAAGCCAGCCUUCCUGAUACACACACAUACACACACACAUCGAGACAUACACAGGGAAAUAAGGGACCUUGAGGAGCCGAGAAAAAACAUACGACAGCAGAGUAUCCUUAUACAGACACACAGGCAGGGCGCAUGAUGAGGACCGCCAGACCAGGAUAAACCCCAAACCCAGAAAUAUCAACAAGUCCAAAACACAAGAGCCCUGGAUCAUCAGACCCAGACCCGUGACAGUGCUGCAAUCAAAUUGCCUCUCUCGGCGUUGACGCUGUCUCCAACAUGAAUGGAAGCAGAUGGUCUUUAUAUUAAUGGAAUCACUGACACAACAGAUCACAUAAAAAAUAAUAAUAAAUCUGCUGGAACUGUCAUACCCCAAAAAGUUGAUCCUGUUCAUCUGUAUGUAGUGUUUUCAGUGGGAGAAACAUUUCAUCUCUCAACCAAGUGACUUCUUCAAUCUCAGCUGACUGCAGGUUUCCCCAAUCUUAUAAACAGUACAUUUGCAUGGAAACUAGCACCACUGAAUGAACAAUGGGCUGGGAGGUUGAUCCUUGAUCAUUAGUAUGCAAAUUCUCAAGACCAUUGAUCAACAACCACUGGUCAAAGACCACUGAUCAAUGGCCAUGAGUACCAUUCACAUAGAGUUGGAGAAUGGCUGCAAUCACAGCAUUGUAAGAUAGCAAAAGAUGUACCCUUAGGCUGCCUCCUCGAUUCAGAGAUGGUCUUUCCCUUUUUACAUAAAUGGCCUCCUUGACUCCGCACUCAAACCAGCGUUCUUCCCUGUCCAGGAUGUGUACAUCCUCAUCAUUGAAAGAGUGUCCAUUGGCCUGUAGGUGUAAAUAGACUGCAGAGUCCUGGCCUGAUGAGGUAGCUCUUCUGUGUUGUGCCAUCCGCUUCGCCAGAGGUUGUUCGGUUUCCCCGAUGUAUAAAUCCUGGCAAUCCUCCUGGCACUUAACAGCGUACACUAUGUUACUAUGUUUGUGUCGGGGGACCCGAUCCUUGGGGUGGACCAAUUUGUGGCGCAGCAAGUUUUGGGGUUUGAAAGCCACAGAGACCCGGUGUUUAGAAAAAAUGUGUCUCAACUCCUCCGAUACUCCUGACACAUAUGGGAUCACUACAGGUUUUCACUUGGGCAGCGGUUGUCCUUCUCUCCUGGAUUGGCUGGAGCUUUCUUUAGAUGCCUUUCCAGCUUUGACAAAAGUCCAGCUGGGAUAAUCACAUUUACUCAGGGCCUUCUUGAUGUGCUGUUCUUCUGCCUCCCUGGCUGCUGUGUCAGUGGGGAUGGUGUUCGCUCUGUGUUGCUCUGUGUCGCUCUGUUCCUUCAGUGGGCUGGUUUCAGUCAUUAUGCAAAUGUACUGUUUAUAAGGUUUGGGGAAACCUGCAGUCAGCUGAGACUGAAGAAGUCACUUGGAUGAGUGACGAAACAUUUCUCCCACAAAACGCUACGUCCAGAUGAACAGAAUCAACUUUUGGAGAUUUACUUUCCUGGAUGUUCUCAAUCAUCCAGGAAAGUAAAUCUCCAAAAGUUGAUUCAAGACGUUCCUAGGAUUAUGUGAUCUAUCUGGUAUUUAAAGCGUUAAAAUUCUGAAUUUGAAUGAAAUUUUGA
rnacentral:lncRNA from 1 species